AUUCAAAUAACUUCGAAAGUAAAAGCAGAUGUUCAAAAUAUAAGCGGUGAACUUAUUGUUUCCGGGCUGCAUAGUGCUACAUCGUUAAUUCAAGCGGCUAAAAAUUUAAUGAACGCCGUUGUAUUAACGGUAAAGUACUCAUAUGUGGCAUCAACAAAUUAUACAAGGCAAGGAACUGUGUCUUCCCCAAUUGUAGUAUGGAAAAUAAAAGCACCAGAAAAAAAACCUUUGGUCAGGCCGGAAAAACCAGAAGAAGUACGAGCCAAAGUUCGCAAGGGAUCUCAAAAGAAGAUUCAAAACCCUAUCCAUGCAUUAUCUGAGUUCCAAAGUCCUGCUGACGCUGUUUAAAAAUUGAUUUUCUAUCAAUUUCUAUUAAUUACCAUAAACAAAGUAGUAUUAAAA